rnacentral:rRNA from 1 species
AACCUGCCCUCCACUCUGGGAUAACUCCGGGAAACCGGUGCUAAUACUGGAUAUGACCUGAACAGGCAUCUGUAUCGGGUGGAAAGAUUUAUUGGUGGGGGAUGGACUCGCGGCCUAUCAGCUUGUUGGUGAGGUAAUGGCUCACCAAGGCGACGACGGGUAGCCGGCCUGAGAGGGCGAUCGGCCACACUGGGACUGAGACACGGCCCAGACUCCUACGGGAGGCAGCAGUGGGGAAUAUUGCACAAUGGGCGCAAGCCUGAUGCAGCGACGCCGCGUGAGG